GGAGCCACCGCUGAGGAAGAACACACAUUCAUCAGGCUGGUGACCCCGGUGUACCAGCGCUUUGUGGCGUGUAACAAAGACUGCCGAGCAGAAAAUUGGAGUUCAAUUUGCCGUCCAUCCUGCACGCAGUGCUCAGCCCAUUCUAGUCCCUGGCAGGCACCUCUGUGCUUUAUCAUAAAUAAUAACACCACGCGGCUCUAUGGCCCUUUCCGCAGUUACAGUCCCCGAGCAAUUUACAAGCCAGAUUAUACACAGAAGCCUGCACAUGCCUGCCGGCCAGCACACACCACACACACGCGGCCUCCUCCCCAGUCACUCCUAGGGCCCACGGCCAUCCUGGUGUCACCCAUCUGGGGCUGCACCCAAUCUGGAGGGAAGCAGGCCGUUGUGCACCCCUGGACACUGGGCUCUGCUCCUGCCCUGGUCACCUUCUUUAUCCCUUUUACUGGCUCUCAUGGUUGGCAGAGAACCCACGAGGUCUGGUGGCCCACUGCCCCUUGCUGGACCAAGGUCAAGGCCACUUCCCCUCUCUUUCUUUCCGUUUUAGAAGGAGCUUCUGGACCUCCUCCCCUCCAAUCAGCAGUGGCCCUUUGUCUCUACCACAGGGAGUCCCGUCUCUCCUCAGAACUUAUUGGGAGUAGUGGGGGGGUGCAAAAGCAGCAACAGGGACCCACAAGUUCAACCGCUCGCUUCACAGACGAGACCCCUGGGGCCCAGAGAGGUGCAGCAGCUUCCCUGAGGACUCUGCAUCAGCUGCUGAGCUGAGACCAAAGCCCAGGACCACCGGCACCCAGUCCACUACACAGCGGAGCCCCAAGGAGGGAGGUAAACAAAGGUCUAGGGCAGACUGGGCUGCUCCCUCUGAGCAUCUAGAAACUUCCCCAGAAGCAGAAGCUUCAGGCAGGGCCUGGAGGGGCUCCAGCAGCAGCUCCUUCCCCCUCUUGCCAUCAAACUAAAUAAGAGGUCAACUAUUGUAUGAUGCCAUUUAUAUGAGAUAUCCAGAGUAGGUAGAUCCAUAGAGAUGGGGCUCAGAUUGGUGACUGGCAGGUGGUUGGGAGAGAGGGGAAUGGGGAGUGACUGUGAGUGGGUACAGGCUUCCUUCUGGGGUGAUGAAAGUAUUCUGGAACUCAGUGGUGGUUGUACAUCAUUGUGAAUGUACUAAGUGCCACUGAAUUGCUCACUUGAAAAUGAUUUUUUUUUUUUUUUUUUUUUUGAGACCGGGUCUCGCUCUGCUGCCCAGGCGGGAGUGUGGUGGUGCAAUCAUAGCUCACUGCAGCCUUGAACUCCCAGGCUCAAGUGAUCCUCCACUUUAGCCUCUCGAGUACCUGGGACCACAGGCGCGUGCCACCAUGCUUGGCUAAUAUUUUGUAUUUUUAGUAGAGAUGAGGUUUUGACACGUUGCCCAGGCUGAUCUCGAACUCUUGGACUCAAGCAAUGUACCCACCUCGGCCUCCCAAAGUGCUAGGAUUAAGGCAUGAGUCAGUCUUAAAAUGGCUAAUUUUAUGUCAUGCAAAUCUUAUCCCCAUCAAAAAAAUAAAAAAAAAUAAAAAACAUACAAUGGG
rnacentral:lncRNA from 1 species